AUAUGUAAUUACUAAUUACCAUGUUUAGCAAAACAUUAGAAGCUCUUAAUCUUACUCUUUCUGCUAAACUAUGGCUAUCAGUGGCUUGGCCUCGACGCGCUCGGACGUGAACAUAUGGUAGCUUCUCGCCGCCGUCUUCUGAGAUGAUUGAGAUGAACCCCUAACUCUAUGUUGGCUCUGUCCUGCACAUACUGGAGUUCGAUAAUCAACCGACUUGCACAAGAUUGUGCGAGGAGGAUAGGAGAGAGACGCAGGGAGGCGGACCCAAGCACCCCAACGGUGCGGCUCUCUAGUGUUUACAUAUGUUCACGAGUCAUUCUGUUUUGUAGGUUUUGACAAUAAUCCUUCCACAAGUUCAUCUAUGAAUCUUGUUUCGAUUUCUUCUUCCUCUAAAGGUCACUUGUUCAUGAAUUGCCAUAAAUAGACUUAACUCUUGCUGCAAAAUAGUUAUGUAAGUUAUUAUGGCACCUUUUAAUAGCAUAUGAAUUAACUAGCAA